GUCUUAUUGAAAAUAAUUUUAAGUCAAAUCUGCUCAAUGAAUAAAUUUAAAUAGCUGCAGUAUAAAUAACUGUACAAAGGUAGCAUAAUAAUUUGUUUUCUAAUUAAAAACUAGAAUGAAUGAUUUAAUGAAAUAUAAACUGUAUCAAAUUUAAAAAAUAAACUUUUUAUUUAAAUAAAAAAAUUUAAAUAAUUUUUAAAGACGAGAAGACCCUAUAGAAUUUUUAUAAUAAAUUUUAAUAUUAUUAAUUUUAUUAUAUUAAUUGGGGAAAUUUUAAAAUUAAAAAAAUUUUUAAUUAAAUAAACAUAAAUUUUUGAAUAUUUAUAAUUUUUUAAAAAAUUAAAUUUAAUUACCUUAGGGAUAACAGCAUAAUUUUUUUAAAAAGUUCAAAUUUAUAAAAAAGUUUAU
rnacentral:rRNA from 1 species